rnacentral:rRNA from 1 species
AACGAACGCUGGCGGCAUGCCUAACACAUGCAAGUCGAACGGGAUCCUAGCUUGCUAGGUGAGAGUGGCGGACGGGUGAGUAACACGUGGGAAUCUGCCUUUUGGUUCGGGAUAACCGCGGGAAACUGCGGCUAAUACCGAAUGCCCUCGAGAGAGGAAAGAUUUUAAUCGCCCAGAAGAGGAGCCCGCGUCCGAUUAGGUAGUUGGUGGGGUAAAGGCCUACCAAGCCGACGAUCGGUAGCUGGUCUGAGAGGAUGAUCAGCCACACUGGGACUGAGAUACGGCCCAGACUCCUACGGGAGGCAGCAGUGGGGAAUAUUGGACAAUGGGGGCAACCUGAUCCAGCAAUGCCGCGUGAGUGAUGAAGG